AGAGUUUGAUCCUGGCUCAGGAUGAACGCUGGCGGCGUGCUUAACACAUGCAAGUCGAACGAUCCUUCGGGAUAGUGGCGGACGGGUGAGUAACGCGUGGGAAUCUGCCCUCAGGAGGGGGAUAACGGCUGGAAACGGCCGCUAAUACCCCAUAUGCCGAGAGGUGAAAUGAAUUUCGCCUGAGGAUGAGCCCGCGUCUGAUUAGCUAGUUGGUGGGGUAAAGGCCUACCAAGGCAACGAUCAGUAGCUGGUCUGAGAGGAUGAUCAGCCACACUGGGACUGAGACACGGCCCAGACUCCUACGGGAGGCAGCAGUGGGGUAUCUUCCGCAAUGGGCGAAAGCCUGACGGAGCAACGCCGCGUGAGGGAUGAAGGCCUCUGGGCUGUAAACCUCUUUUCUCAAGGAAGAAGACCUGACGGUACUUGAGGAAUAAGCCACGGCUAAUUCCGUGCCAGCAGCCGCGGUAAUACGGGAGUGGCAAGCGUUAUCCGGAAUUAUUGGGCGUAAAGCGUCCGCAGGCGGCCUUGUAAGUCUGUUGUUAAAGCGUGGAGCUCAACUCCAUUUAAGCAAUGGAAACUACAAGGCUGGAGUGUGGUAGGGGCAGAGGGAAUUCCCGGUGUAGCGGUGAAAUGCGUAGAUAUCGGGAAGAACACCAAUGGCGAAGGCGCUCUGCUGGGCCAUAACUGACGCUCAUGGACGAAAGCCAGGGGAGCGAAAGGGAUUAGAUACCCCUGUAGUCCUGGCCGUAAACGAUGAACACUUGGUGUCGGGGGAAUCGACCCCCUCGGUGUCGUAGCCAACGCGUUAAGUGUUCCGCCUGGGGAGUACGCACGCAAGUGUGAAACUCAAAGGAAUUGACGGGGGCCCGCACAAGCGGUGGAGUAUGUGGUUUAAUUCGAUGCAACGCGAAGAACCUUACCAGGGUUUGACAUCCUGCGAACCCCUGAGAAAUCGGGGGGUGCCUUCGGGAGCGCAGAGACAGGUGGUGCAUGGCUGUCGUCAGCUCGUGUCGUGAGAUGUUGGGUUAAGUCCCGCAACGAGCGCAACCCACGUCUUUAGUUGCCAGCAUUCAGUUGGGCACUCUAGAGAGACCGCCGGUGAUAAACCGGAGGAAGGUGUGGAUGACGUCAAGUCAUCAUGCCCCUUACAUCCUGGGCUACACACGUACUACAAUGCUACGGACAAAGGGCAGCAAGCUCGCGAGAGUUAGCAAAUCCCAUAAACCGUGGCUCAGUUCAGAUCGUAAGCUGCAACUCGCCUACGUGAAGGAGGAAUCGCUAGUAAUCGCAGGUCAGCAUACUGCGGUGAAUACGUUCCCGGGCCUUGUACACACCGCCCGUCACACCAUGGAAGUUGGCCAUGCCCGAAGUCGUUACUCCAACCUUUGUGGAGGAGGACGCCGAAGGUGGGGCUGAUGACUGGGGUGAAG
rnacentral:rRNA from 1 species